AGCUAUUUACACUUAAUUGUAUAUAACAUAUCGUCCAAAUGGCAAAAGAAUCAAACUAUGAAGAUACGAUUGAAGCGAUUGUGAACAGCGGACUUCAUACUAUGGUAUUGGCACUAGGAUACAAGGUUGGAAUUAUAGACGCCAUGGGACGAUUGGGAAAACCUAGCACGAAGGGUGAAAUCAGCAAGGAAGCGGGCCUCAAUCAACGGCUACCAAUAUCCAUCAAAUGAACUAGAAUGGCUGGGAAAGUUCAGCGACUUGUCCAACACAAACCAAACAUGGAUAGAAAAUAAUAUUAAUCCAGCUAUUUUGUACUGUCAACAGCAAUCUCACGACACAGAAAUUUCGUUAUGUAUGCUUGAUUUUGGAUGUGGAUACGGAAAACUUGCCAACGAACUAGCACAGUACUAUCCACAGAGUAAUAUCUUUGGAACCGAUAUACACAAAGACGCUGUCCAUUUCUGCAAAGUCGCACAUAAGCAACCAAAUAUUCAGUUUGAAAUAUUUUCAAAAAGCCUCGAACUGCUAUGGCAGCAAAAGUUUGACGCUAUCAUCUUGAAGGAUGUAUUGCAUGAUCUUCCAGAUCCGGUAACUGUUCUAUCUCAAGUGAGGCGCAUGCUCAAACCUCAAGGAAUAGUAAUUGCAUUUGAUCCUAACAUCUCGUCAAAUAUAUCCUUUAAUUUAGGAAAAAAGGCAGCUCAAAAUCAUCUGCCUUACAGUGUGUUUUUCUGUCUGCCGAAUAGUUUGUCGGAAAGGCCCGCUGUGGGUCAUGGCGGGAGUUGGGGUUACGAAGAUCGGGAGCAAUUUCUUGUUGAUAAUGGAUUUACAAUAGUUAAAACGCCUGUCAACGAAAUCAAGUCAACGAAUUCCCACGAUCACAGAAUUAUAUUUAAAGUGUAAGCAUGAAGUUUAAACAUUAAAUCUUCUCUUCUCACAAACAAGUUUGUGUGUUCGUGUGACUGUGAAAUUUAACAAAGUAAAUAUUUAUGCAUGU
rnacentral:misc_RNA from 1 species